CCAAAGUCUCCAGAAAACCCGAGAGACGUAGAAACCCUAGAGAACGAGUGAGGACCUAGCCUCAUUCGUUUAACCUAACCUUAACCUUUUCCCCUUAAAUAUGCUUCUUGAUCUUUUACCAUGUAGCCUCAUUAAUUCACAGAUGGCAAACACAUAACCCUUCUUAAUCCCCUUCACCCGAUGAUUGACAUGUGCCCCCUUUUCUCUUCAGAUGGAAGCACAUGUUUGACUCCUCACACAUAAACCCUAAUUGCUGUCUGUCUUCUGUUUCACACUUCAUCCUCUUUCCUACGCGCACAACUUGAUUCCCUGUUUCCACUACUAUUUUCCUCAUUGUGCUCCCACCUUUAUCCCCUGCUUUCCGAACUACUUUUAUCCUGGUGAGCUUGGUUCCUUACAAUGACAUGCGAGAUCACAUGACAAGUUCCACAUACUUUUCCAUGAUAGAUUUGAAAAGCGAACAUCACCAAAUCUGCACAAGAUUAGGAGACAAACAUAAAACGACAUUCAAACCAAAAGAUAGCCUAUAUGAGUAGUUAAUCAUGUCAUUUGGAUUGUCUAAUGCACCAAGUACCUUCACGUGCUUCAUGAAUCAAGUUUUCUAUUUUAAUAAGAGAUUUUCUGUCGUCUACUUUGAUGAUACCCUUAUAUUCAGUAAGUCUAAGGAAGAAUGCAUCUUGCACUUGCAACAAGUUAUGAGAGUAUUCCAUCAAGAGAAACUCUAUAUAAACCUAAAAAAUGCACAUUUAUGACAAAUAGUGUUUUGUUCCUAGGAUUUGUCGUCUCUUCCAAAUGAGUAAAAGUUGAUCAAGCAAAGGUUAAAGCUAUCCCAUAAUGGCCAACUCCUAAGAUCUUACAUGAAGUGUAAAGCUUCCAUGGGUUGGCAUCUCCUUACAUAAGGUUUAUUGGAGGCUUUAGCACAAUAAUAACACCUAUUACAAGCUACAGAGUCGUAUAAUCAUAUUCUUCUAUGGUAUCCAAUGGUGUAUAAUUUUUAGAAAUGGUUUAUGACUUGUUAGGGAUAAAUUGGGUUAUAGUAGGGUCGGUGAUGGAUGAGAUUUCGGCGUAGAAGGGGAUAUGUAAAACGAAAAAAUUUGUAAAUCUUAUUUUAUUGACUAUUUUUUGGAUGGUAUAGAAAGAGAGGAAUAAUGAGGAGAGGGAUUGAAGGAGAGAUAUCUAAAAUCAAGAGUAGAUUGUUGACGGAGUGUGGAGGCUACUUUAGUAAAAUAAAUAUGUAACUUAGGGUUUUAUUCUAUUAUUAAUUAUUAUGUUUUAUAAAUAAGGAAGUUAUACCCGGGCUUUUGGGGUAUAACUUCUAUAUAUAUGGCUGCAUGUAUCUAUAAUUUUAAUCAAUAAGAAAAAAAGGGUUUUACUCUCAAAAACAUCAUGGUAUCAAAGUCGUAGGAACCCUACGGCCAACAAAGCUGCUCGUACAGCAGAGAGAAUCUCAGAAUUAACUGAGGCAGAAAGCUCAGUUGUCAGGGGUGCAAUCAAGACAGUCAUGGCACAUAGGGGAGACCUUUCCUCCCACCAUUCCUUUCAGCUCACAUCUCACCGACUGAAUGGAAAAAAUUACCUGGAGGGGGUGCAAUCCGUGAAGCUCGCAAUCGACAACAGGCAAACUCGGACACCUGACUGGAGAAGUGAGAAAACCAG
rnacentral:lncRNA from 1 species